rnacentral:rRNA from 1 species
AUUGAACGCUGGCGGCAGGCCUAACACAUGCAAGUCGAACGAGUGGCGGACGGGUGAGCAAUGUCUGGGAAACUGCCUGAUGGAGGGGGAUAACUACUGUAACCGGUAGCUAAUACCGCAUACCAUGGGAUGGGCCCUGAUGGGAUUAGCUAGUGGGUGGGGUAAAGGCUCACCUAGGCGACGAUCCCUAGCUGGUCCGAGAGGAUGACCGGCCACACUGGAACUGAGACACGGUCCAGACUCCUACGGGAGGCAGCAGUGGGGAAUAUUGCACAAUGGGCGCAAGCCUGAUGCAGCCAUGCCGCGUGUAUGAAGAAGGCCUUCGGGUUGUAAAGUACUUUCAGCGGGGAGGCGUUACCCGCAGAAGAAGCACCGGCUAACUCCGUGCCAGCAGCCGCGGUAAUUC